rnacentral:lncRNA from 1 species
AUGAUGAUAAUAAGGCUGUGGAGGAGAGGCUUUAGAUGUACUUGCAUUGAAGCACAAAGACUGCAAAGAUUUCUUCAAGACAGGUUGUUGACAAUCCCAUUGUCCCACAUCGACCAGUUGAGGCAAGGAGGAGAGCGGUGCUGUGUAUAAAAUAAUCAGCCCAACACAGGAAUAAGCAUACCUUUCUCGGCCUUUUGGCUAAGAUCAAGUGUAGUAUCUGUUCUUAUCAGUUUAAUAUCUGAUACGUGGGCCAAUGGCCCACACGAUAUUAAAUUAAUUUCUUUAGGGGGAGGGCUCGCUACAGUAGCUUGCUAUUGGAGCUCUCAAGCGUCGCCCAAGUGUUGCACUACUGCAUGGGCCUGGCGCACCCCACCAAAUCAAGUUUAAUCUUUUUACGGCCUUGCCCAAAAUGUUGUUCAUAAUUUAUGUCGAUGUCCGGCCCAAGCAUUAAAAAAAUAAAUAGCAAAAGCCCCCACGUGUCUUCUUAAUUUACCUAUAUCUCAAAAAUAAAAAAACAAAUAAUAUAUAUAUAUAUAUAUAUAUAUAUAUAUUGGGCAUUUAAUUUUGGUUCUCAAAUGCUAAAGUUUCAAUGGCUUGUACUUCUGCUGAGGUUAUCUCGAGUUCAUGCAUCUACUAGUUCUUUGUACCUCUAUUGAGAUUACCCUCUGUCAAGGUUAUCUUGAUUCCAUAUCUAUGCUAAUGGCUUGUUCUUUUGCCUGGGGCUAUCUUGAGUUCAUAUCGUUGUUGAAG